rnacentral:rRNA from 1 species
AGCGAACGUUUGCGGCGGGCCUAACACAUGCAAGUCGAACGGGCUAGCAAUAGUCAGUGGCGCACGGGUGCGUAACACGUGGGUAAUCAACCCUUCAGCUCGGGAUAACGGCCUUGAAAGGGGCGCUAAUACCGGAUACGACGCGAGGAGCUUCGGCUGCUUGCGGGAAAGAUUCGCAAGGAUCUCUGAAGGACGAGCCUGCGGCCCAUCAGCUAGUUGGUGAGGUAAGAGCUCACCAAGGCGAAGACGGGUAGCUGGUCUGAGAGGAUGAUCAGCCACACUGGAACUGAGACACGGUCCAGACUCCUACGGGAGGCAGCAGUGGGGAAUAUUGCGCGAAUGGGCGAAAGCCUGACGCAGCCACGCCGCGUGAGCGAUGAAGGCCUGGUCGUAAGA